AUUGAGUUCUUUCCUUGGCUGGAGGGCUCUAAGCCAGGGAAGCUUGGCGAGGCUGUGUGUUCUCUGCUGAUGACAUGUCCUCCUGCUCUGCGGGGGUCCAACUUUGGGAGCCGCUGAGAGCUUCAAGGCCCCCUUGGUCCACAAGAAGGAGAAUCCAGGACAAGUGUCUGGAAAGUGUUUGAGCAAGAGCGCCCGCCCUGUGCAGCCAGUCUGGCUACCCUCAUAGGAAGGGCUCUUCACUCUGGGCAGCGGUGGACAGAGGCAGUGGAGGCUGGAUGCGGGUUCUCAGAUUGACAAGUAUCUCUAUGCCAUGCGGCUCUCCGAUGAAACUCUCAUAGAUAUCAUGACUCGCUUCAGGAAGGAGAUGAAGAAUGGCCUCUCCCGGGAUUUUAAUCCAACAGCCACAGUCAAGAUGUUGCCAACAUUCGUAAGGUCCAUUCCUGAUGGCUCUGAAAAGGGAGAUUUCAUUGCCCUGGAUCUUGGUGGGUCUUCCUUUCGAAUUCUGCGGGUGCAAGUGAAUCAUGAGAAAAACCAGAAUGUUCACAUGGAGUCCGAGGUUUAUGACACCCCAGAGAACAUCGUGCACGGCAGUGGAAGCCAGCUUUUUGAUCAUGUUGCUGAGUGCCUGGGAGAUUUCAUGGAGAAAAGGAAGAUCAAGGACAAGAAGUUACCUGUGGGAUUCACGUUUUCUUUUCCUUGCCAACAAUCCAAAAUAGAUGAGGCCAUCCUGAUCACCUGGACAAAGCGAUUUAAAGCGAGCGGAGUGGAAGGAGCAGAUGUGGUCAAGCUGCUUAACAAAGCCAUCAAAAAGCGAGGGGACUAUGAUGCCAACAUCGUAGCUGUGGUGAAUGACACAGUGGGCACCAUGAUGACCUGUGGCUAUGACGACCAGCACUGUGAAGUCGGCCUGAUCAUCGGCACUGGCACCAAUGCUUGCUACAUGGAGGAACUGAGGCACAUUGAUCUGGUGGAAGGAGACGAGGGGAGGAUGUGUAUCAAUACAGAAUGGGGAGCCUUUGGAGACGAUGGAUCAUUAGAAGACAUCCGGACAGAGUUUGACAGGGAGAUAGACCGGGGAUCCCUCAACCCUGGAAAACAGCUGUUUGAGAAGAUGGUCAGUGGCAUGUACUUGGGAGAGCUGGUUCGACUGAUCCUAGUCAAGAUGGCCAAGGAGGGCCUCUUAUUUGAAGGGCGGAUCACCCCGGAGCUGCUCACCCGAGGGAAGUUUAACACCAGUGAUGUGUCAGCCAUCGAAAAGAAUAAGGAAGGCCUCCACAAUGCCAAAGAAAUCCUGACCCGCCUGGGAGUGGAGCCGUCCGAUGAUGACUGUGUCUCAGUCCAGCACGUUUGCACCAUUGUCUCAUUUCGCUCAGCCAACUUGGUGGCUGCCACACUGGGCGCCAUCUUGAACCGCCUGCGUGAUAACAAGGGCACACCCAGGCUGCGGACCACGGUUGGUGUCGACGGAUCUCUUUACAAGACGCACCCACAGUAUUCCCGGCGUUUCCACAAGACUCUAAGGCGCUUGGUGCCAGACUCCGAUGUGCGCUUCCUCCUCUCGGAGAGUGGCAGCGGCAAGGGGGCUGCCAUGGUGACGGCGGUGGCCUACCGCUUGGCCGAGCAGCACCGGCAGAUAGAGGAGACCCUGGCUCAUUUCCACCUCACCAAGGACAUGCUGCUGGAGGUGAAGAAGAGGAUGCGGGCCGAGAUGGAGCUGGGGCUGAGGAAGCAGACGCACAACAAUGCCGCGGUUAAGAUGCUGCCCUCCUUCGUCCGGAGAACUCCCGACGGGACCGAGAAUGGUGACUUCUUGGCCCUGGAUCUUGGAGGAACCAAUUUCCGUGUGCUGCUGGUGAAAAUCCGUAGUGGGAAAAAGAGAACGGUGGAAAUGCACAACAAGAUCUACGCCAUUCCUAUUGAAAUCAUGCAGGGCACUGGGGAAGAGGUGAGAUUACAAAACCAUAGUGCAUGUGCACUGCACACACGGCCAGUGGCACCGGCAGUCACGUGAUGACCAAAAUCCGCCACGGGAUGCCCACAUGGAUUUGUGUCUUUGUGGCCCAGAAGCACCAGAUGCUUUUUGCCAUGCCUGGCUUGUGUGUGACACUCUGGUGGCUGAGAAGAUUCUGGAAAAGGAGGCUCACUCUGCAUGUGUGUGGGGUGUGUUUUCCUACGUGUGUGUGUGUAUACACACUUUGGUCCAUGUGCACUGAUAAAAUUAAAACCACAGAGAGCACGGGCGAUCCUUUCUUUUCCCCUGCAGCUGUUUGAUCACAUUGUCUCCUGCAUCUCUGACUUCUUGGACUACAUGGGGAUCAAAGGCCCCAGGAUGCCUCUGGGCUUCACGUUCUCAUUUCCCUGCCAGCAGACGAGUCUGGACGCGGGAAUCUUGAUCACGUGGACAAAGGGUUUUAAGGCAACAGACUGCGUGGGCCACGAUGUAGUCACCUUACUAAGGGAUGCGAUAAAAAGGAGAGAGGUAACUAUUAAAAGAAUGUUUUUUAAAAUCUUUACUGUUUUAGGGGCUUCUAAAAAGUGUAUUUGCCUGUUGUAAAGAAUUCAGGCCAGGCGUGGUGGCUCAUGCCUGUAAUCCCAGCACUUUGGGAGGCCGAGGCGGGUGGAUCAUGAGGUCAGGAGUUCUAGACCAGCCCGGGCAAUAUGGUGAAACCCCGUCUCUACUAAAGUUACACAAAUUAGCCAGGCAUGGUGGUGCGCACCUGUAGUCCCAGCUACUCGGGAGACUGAGGCAGAAGAAUCGCUUCAACCCAGGAGGAGGUUGCAGUGAGCUGAGAUCCCGCCACUGCACUACAGCCUGGGCGACAGAGCAAGACUCCAUCUCAAAAUAAAUAAAU
rnacentral:sRNA from 1 species